UUAGCUCAUAUUUGUAUGGAAUGGGAUCGUUUGCCUACGUUUGCCGUUAGGGGCGCUGUUCCAACUGCAUACAAAAUUGGGUUA
rfam:Bombyx mori DNA, contig: Bm_scaf7_contig6274, strain: p50T/Dazao, build 2, whole genome shotgun sequence.